UUAAACUCAUUUUCCAUAAAAUCACAAAAUCGGAUAAAAACCACUUUAGAUAAUUAAAACGAUAGUAAGGUUACUCGUUGUAUCAGGAGUUUGAAAUACUCCUAUUCUCAGUCCUCUGACACAAUGUCUUUACCCUUGUUAGAGGGCUCACCACCUAUACAGAAUACACGACACAUAAUUCAAUAUACUGUGUCAUACCAUUAUAAAUCUAUUUCAAGCUCUUUGCUAUUGCAUGAAAUGGGUGCAAAUUGUUCGGAUUAUUGUCUAAACACGGUGUUCUACACGAAUCCAAUUGUGUACCUAAAUAAUACGAUAUUGGCCUAAUUCGAUCUAUCACUCGAUUAAUUGGCCAAUAUGUCCAAUUCAACACCAAUUCACUCCAUUUUUCUUCCAAUUCUCCAAAUCCUCAAACACAAGUCAAAUAGCAUAAAAUUUACCAAAAUCAUCUCCACGUUUUCUCUUGAGAAUUUCGACCAUGAUGGGUGCAUAAACACCAUGAUUUUUCCUACUUGAUUUUCCCACCAUAAUUCAUCAUUUCCUAACCAAUUCACUUGAAAUAAAAUCAAAUCCACCAUCCACACUCUACAAGGAAAAUUUGGCCAAUGAUGGGUAAUGGGAGAAAAUAAAUUUUUCUUGUUGGCUUUUCAUGCUACACAUCACUAACUAAUUAAAAACACCAAACUAGAUUAAAAUCUAACCAAAUCAUCAGCAAAUUCUCUCUCCUAGGUGUUCCGCCAGCAAAGGACUUAUCAUGAAAACUUGAUUCUCAACCAUGGAAAAUGCAAAAGAAUGCAUGGGUAAGGUAGAUCACAAGUCAAAAUCAAGAAAUUUUACCUUUGAUUGCUUGAUUACUUGAAAUCCACCAAUUUUUCUCUUGAAUUUUCACCCUAGGGUUCUUGUUCUUUCUUUUCUUCCUUUGUUCUUCCUUUGGUUUUCCUUUGGC
rnacentral:lncRNA from 1 species